rnacentral:piRNA from 1 species
CUAUACCUGGGUACAAGCAAUGAU